rnacentral:rRNA from 1 species
AACGAACGCUGGCGGCAGGCUUAACACAUGCAGGUCGUGCGCCCCGCAAGGGGAGCGGCAGACGGGUGAGUAACGCGUGGGAAUCUACCCAUCUCUACGGAAUAACGCAUGGAAACGUGUGCUAAUACCGUAUACGUCCUUCGGGAGAAAGAUUUAUCGGAGAUGGAUGAGCCCGCGUUGGAUUAGCUAGUUGGUGGGGUAAAGGCCUACCAAGGCGACGAUCCAUAGCUGGUCUGAGAGGAUGAUCAGCCACACUGGGACUGAGACACGGCCCAGACUCCUACGGGAGGCAGCAGUGGGGAAUAUUGGACAAUGGGCGCAAGCCUGAUCCAGCCAUGCCGCGUGAGUGAUGAAGGCCCUAGGGUUGUAAAGCUCCUUCACCGGUGAAGAUAAUGACGGUAACCGGAGAAGAAGCCCCGGCUAACUUCGUGCCAGCCGCCGCCGUAACAC